CGAGCAUGAGUGAGAAUUAUUUGAAUGGAAGCAUUCCGUUUCAGAUUGGUAAUCUAAGAGGCCUACAGAUUACCUUGGAUCUCAGCUGUAACUUACUUUUGGGAGAGAGAACCCAACAACUUGGGAAACUGCAAAUGUUGGAAAAGCUAAAUCUCUCCCACAAUUCACUCUCUGGUUCCAUCCCGUCGUCUUUCAAAGAGAUGAUCUGUUUAUAUUCCAUCGACUUUUCUUACAAUGAUUUGGAGGGCCCUCCCCCCGACGGCAAAGCCUUCCAUCUGGCUCUGUUGGAAGCAUUCGUUGAAAACAAAGGUCUAUGCGGUGAAGUAAAAGGUAUGCUACCAUGUAAUUCCUCUUCGAUAAACCCUGUUGGUGGUAGGAAAGACCCCAAGCUUGUGAUCAUCGUCGUUAUUCCUAUUGUGGCAACAUUAUUUCUUCGAUUUGUAUUUGCCAUCAUUUGCUCCAUUUUUCUUAAGAGAACAAGAAAUGCAGAGAUUAGGGAUGUAGAAGUGAACAAUGGAAAUCUAGUUGCAAUAUGCAAUUUUGAUGGAAAGAUUGCAUAUGAAGACGUCAUCAGGGCAACAGAGGAUUUCAGCGAUAAAUAUUGCAUUGGGGUGGGAGGCCACGGGAGAGUUUAUAAAGCAGAUCUGCCCACAGGUCAAGUAGUAGCAGUUAAAAAAACUUCAUUCGUCCCAGGGUGGUGAGCAAGUUGAUCAAAGAAGCUUUAGAAAUGAGAUACAAGCACUAACAGAAAUUCGACAUCGCAACAGCGUGAAGUUCUAUGGUUUUUGUUCGCAUGUUCGGUGCUCAUUUCUAGCGUACGAGUAUAUGGAGAGGGGAAGCUUGGCUGGCAUCCUCAGCAACAGUGAAGGAGCUGUAGAAUUGGAUUGGGUGAAGAGAAUGAAGGUUAUUAGAGGAGUAGCCCAUGCAUUAUCAUACAUGCACCAUGAUCGCACCCCUUCUAUAGUUCAUCAGGACUUAUUGAGCAACAACGUUUUGUUGGAUUUGGAAUUGGAGGCCUGUAUCUCUGACUUUGGCACUGCUAGAAUCCUAAAACCUGAUUCAUCGAACUGGUCUGCACUUGUGGGUACUUACGGAUAUGUCGCUCCAGAGCUUGCAUACACAAUGAGGGUGACUGAGAAAUGUGAUGUAUAUAGCUUUGGUGUUGUAUCACUUGAACUUGUAAUGGGAAGACAUCCCGGGGAUUUCUUCACAUCCUUGGCAUCAUCGGGUGGCCAAGAUACAUUGUUGAUGGAUGUGUUAGACCAACUCCUCCUGCCUCCCACAGCCCAAGGCAUAAAGGAUGUGGUUUGUGCGGCAAUGUUGGCACUAGCAUGCUUAUGUGCCAAUCCUCACUCUCGUCCCACUAUGCAGCAAGUGUCGCAGGACCUAUCUGCAGGCAGAGUUCCUCUUCCUGAUGCUGUCCACACAAUUACAUUGUCUCAACUGUCAGAUAUCCAGGUAUGAUUGAUUAAAUAGAAGGAGAUGAUGGUGCAGAAACAGAAAAAUUGAAAUAUUGUAGAGUCAUUUCUCCACAAUACGUGGCAAGGAGAUUUAUCAUCAGAACUAUCCAUCUAGUGGGCAGUAUAUCAUGGAUGGCUUAUGUUUAAGAAAUCAUACCAAGCUUAUGUUUAAAGAUAGAUAAAUACACUUACUUAGUGAGUGCAUCGGCCUA